AAGUCGUAACAAGGUUUCCGUAGGUGAACCUGCGGAAGGAUCAUUACCAAUCCAAAACUAAAAACCACUGUGAACUGGCUGAAGUACUUGGGCAAAGUUUAUUGAGGGGAUCGCGUUUUUUCUUGCUGAGUGUGUGUGUGGCUUUUUUUGUCAUGCAAGACUCUGAAAGGAAUUAUUAGAUCUUUCUCAACCCUUUGCCCAACAGUAUUAACCACAAUUAAAUUUUGUUAUGUUAAACUGCUGACUUGUUGCUCUUGCAACUUGUCUGCUACAAUUGAAAACCAAAAGAUUACAACUUUUAGCGGUGGAUCUCUUGGCUCAU
rnacentral:misc_RNA from 1 species